rnacentral:rRNA from 1 species
CAUUACCGAGUUUACAACUCCCAAACCCAAUGUGAACGUUACCAAACUGUUGCCUCGGCGGGAUCUCUGCCCCGGGUGCGUCGCAGCCCCGGACCAAGGCGCCCGCCGGAGGACCAACCAAAACUCUUAUUGUAUACCCCCUCGCGGGUUUUUUUUAUAAUCUGAGCCUUCUCGGCGCCUCUCGUAGGCGUUUCGAAAAUGAAUCAAAACUUUCAACAACGGAUCUCUUGGUUCUGGCAUCAUGAAGAACGCAGCGAAAUGCGAUAAGUAUGUGAAUUGCAGAAUUCAGUGAAUUCAAUCUUUAACGCACAUUGCGCCCGCCAUAUUCUGGCGGGAUGCCUGUCCAGCGUCAUUUCAACCCUCGAACCCCUCCGGGGGGUCGCGUUGGGGAUCGGCCCUCCCUUGCGGGUGGCCGUCUCCGAAAUACAGUGGCGGUCUCGCCGCAGCCUCUCCUGCGCAGUAGUUUGCACACUCGCAUCGGGAGCCGCGCGUCCACAGCCGUUAAACACCAACUUCUGAAAUGUUGACCUCGGAUCAGGUAGG